rnacentral:rRNA from 1 species
GGUUAAGCGACUAAGCGUACACGGUGGAUGCCCUGGCAGUCAGAGGCGAUGAAGGACGUGCUAAUCUGCGAUAAGCGUCGGUAAGGUGAUAUGAACCGUUAUAACCGGCGAUUUCCGAAUGGGGAAACCCAGUGUGAUUCGUCACACUAUCAUUAACUGAAUCCAUAGGUUAAUGAGGCGAACCGGGGGAACUGAAACAUCUAAGUACCCCGAGGAAAAGAAAUCAACCGAGAUUCCCCCAGUAGCGGCGAGCGAACGGGGAGCAGCCCAGAGCCUGAAUCAGUGUGUGUGUUAGUGGAAGCGUCUGGAAAGGCGUGCGAUACAGGGUGACAGCCCCGUACACAAAAAUGCACAUACUGUGAGCUCGAUGAGUAGGGCGGGACACGUGGUAUCCUGUCUGAAUAUGGGGGGACCAUCCUCCAAGG